rnacentral:rRNA from 1 species
AACGAACGCUGGCGGCGUGCCUAACACAUGCAAGUCGAGCGAGAAAGGGGCUUCGGCCCUGAGUAAAGCGGCGCACGGGUGAGUAACACGUGGGUAACCUGCCUCUAAGACUGGGAUACCCCGUCGAAAGAUGGGCUAAUACCGGAUAAGACCACGAGGGCAAUAGUUUUUGGGGUCAAAGUUGGCCUCUAGUAGUAAGCUAACGCUUAGAGAUGGGCCUGCGCACCAUUAGCUAGUUGGUAGGGUAACGGCCUACCAAGGCGAAGAUGGUUAGCUGGUCUGAGAGGACGGCCAGCCACACUGGGACUGAGACACGGCCCAGACUCCUACGGGAGGCAGCAGUGGGGAAUCUUGGGCAAUGGCCGAAAGGCUGACGCAGCGACGCCGCGUGCGGGAGGAAGCUCUUCGGGGUGUAAACCGCUGUUGCCCGGAACGAAACUCCAGAUUCGUCUGGAUUGACGGUACCGGGUGAGGAAGCGCCGGCUAACUCUGUGCCAGCAGCCGCGGUAAUACAGGA